AUGGAGGCUUGGUGGCCGCAGUGCGGGGUUCAUCUCGCGCUGCUUCUAACAGGGCUGAUCCUCUAUCGCGCUAUCUCAUCACGGCGUUAUGGUCUCCGACCCCUCCCGCUCCCGCCGGGGCCGCGGGUGCUGCCGUUCGUCGGCAACAUCUUCUACACGAGAGACAUGACCCACCAAGGCCUGGCACGGCUGUCCGCGCGCUACGGCGGCCUCCUUCACCUCCGCGUUGGGCGCCUGAGCACCGUGGUCGUGUCGACGCCGGAGAUGGCCCGUCUGGUGCUCCAGGUGAACGACCGCGCCUUCGCCAACCGCCCCGCCAGCGCGCCGAUAGCCUACCUCACCUACGGCCGCGCGGACAUGGUGUUCGCGCAGUACGGGCCGUUCUGGCGGGAGAUGCGGAAGCUGUGCGUCCACAAGCUCUUCAGCCACCGUCGGGCCGCGUCAUGGGCUGCCGUCCAUGACGAGGUCGACGACCUGAUCCGCGACGUUGCCAGGUACACUGGCUCGGUCGUCAAUCUCGGCGAGCUCGUGUUCAACAUGUCGAUGAACAUCACGCUCCGGGCAGCGCUGGGCAUGCGGAACGAGGGUGAGGACGCCGCCGAGUUCGUGGCCAUAGUGCAGGAAUUCGCCGAGCUGUUCGUGGUGUCCAACUCCACCCUUGCGGACUACGUGCCAUGGGUGGCGCGGCUGGAUUUGCAGGGGAUCAACAGGAGGAUGGUGGCGGCACGGGGUGCGCUGGACCGGUUCAUCGACCGUGCCAUCGACGAGCACCUCGCACACCCGAAGCCGGUCGAUGCCGCGGACGCCGACAUGGUGGACGGCAUGCUAGCUUUCCUCGUGGACAUGCCCGGGUCUGCCGACAGGGUGAGCACCGACUCCAGUGCUCAUGGGUCGACGCUUCGUCUCACCAGGGAUAACAUCAAGGCCACCAUUAUGGAUGUGAUGAUCGGUGGGACAGGACCAGUAGCGAUGAUAAUUGAGUGGUUAAUGUCGGAGCUGCUGAGGGACCCGGAGGAAAUGAAGCGGGUGCAGAACGAGCUGGCCGUGGUGGUUGGGCUGCACCGCCAGGUCGCGGCGGGCGACCUGGACGAGCUCCCUUACCUGAGGUGCGCGGUGAAGGAGACCCUCCGCGUGCACCCGCCCGGCCCGCUCCUCCAGCACGAGGCCGCCGAGGACUGCGACGUCGCCGGCUGCCGCAUCCCCAAGAAUACCCGCGUCCUGAUCAACGUGUGGGCGAUCGGGCGUGACGCCGAGGCCUGGAAGGAUCCCGACGCCUUCAGGCCGUCCCGGUUUGGCCCGGGCGGGCACGAGGCAGACACGGACUACCGGGGUGGCCACUUCCACCUCCUGCCGUUCGGCUCGGGGCGGAGGUCAUGCCCCGCCAUGCAGCUGGGGAUGCACGCGGUGGAAAUGGCGCUGGCGCGGCUGCUGCAUGGCUUCGAGUGGAGCCUGCCGAACGGGAUGGCGCCGGAGGACCUUGACAUGGAAGAGGCAUACGGCGCCACCGCUCCACGGGCCGUGCGGUUGUGCGCAGUGCCGGUGCCCCGUCUUAGCUGCCCAGUGGUCUAG
rnacentral:rRNA from 1 species